UGCUCGCGGGCGUGCGGGGUGGCGGCCCGCGGUCUGCGGAGUUCUUGCUGCGCAGUGUGUGCGCCCUGAGGUGUGGCCCGCGGGGACCCGAGUCCUGGCCGAUCAGUGUCUGAGGCUUCGCCGCAUGCUGAGGUGGAGCUGCAAACCCACCAGCCACGUGAUGAGCAUGGCCACCAGCUGGCCACAUAGCUGCCUCCUGCCUCCCACCUCCCUUGGACCCACCCAGCAUUUGUGGGCCUUCCUUAUGUACAGAGUAUCUUGGCUGCACCUGGAGUAACAGAGGCUCAGAGGAAGGCUGUCAGCCUCCUGGCAGGAAUCCGAGGUGCCACUGAGGCCCUCGUGCUCCCCUGGCAGCAGCGGUCCUUGCCAUAUGAAGGGAAGGAAGCCUCAGAACUUGGAUUUACAGGACACGAGAGCAUGACACACUUUGGUGUUUCCCCCAGGCUGUGGUAUCACACCUCAAAGACCUUGCUUUCCUGUGAAGAGCCUGGGGGCCAGACUUCACACACACCGUCUGCAAAAGCUUCCUACGCCCCCAUUAGGACUCCCUCCAGAAGCUUCCUACGUCACACCCAAAGCAGGAGCCCACAGAGGUGUCCCUGGGCAGGGCCACUAGAGCCGGACCCACCACCAUCCUAAGGCUGCAGCCAGCAUGUGCCCGGCUCUGGCCAGCGGCCUUCCGUGAGAACCAGCCCCACUGCUUUCCUAGUCGCCACAUGUCCACGCCGCUCAGGUGGCCCUUCCACUCGCCAGUCCCUCAGCUGAGCUCCCUCUUUUGCCAACACUGCAGCCUCUUACCAUGUGCCUUCACCAAAAACUCCUGCUCCUCAACGUACCUGGACUUUCUUCGUCUUCGGAAUGAAACAGCGAUUUCCUUUCUUGCUGUGUCACGUGUUUAUUUUAGCGAAUUUCUUGUCUCCUCUCCCUUUCCUCCAUGGCUUUAUGCAGGACGCACGAGGACCGCUGACGACCAGACAGGACUGUACUAGGAUUAACAGAGUUCUGACUUCGAGCGGACAAGGACCCCGGGUUUCCAAAUCUCUGUUAUGUAAGAUACUCACACCAGGGGGAGGCCGGGCAAAAGGCAUAUCCAUAUACCUUACGGCACUGCCUUUCCAACUUUUCUGUAAACCUAAAAUGAUCUGAAAAUAAGCCUUAUCUUGGAUUUUAAAGGUGGGGGGAGGCCACAGAUUUUUUUUCCUUUUUGGGAAAUGACUAUAUGUGGGCCUGUCCGUACGGGGCUCAGGAGCUACGGGGUUGCGGUUCUGCACAGCUGGAGCAGCAGGUUGUAGUUGAGAGGUUUUAACCCUCAUUGGCUCUCAAGAAGUUUUCCUAUUUUUGAAGACUUUUUCACAGUGCAAGUCAACUGGCAGCCACUCCAUCGAAGCUGAAGAGGUCCCUCCCGUCCGGGCCCGGGCGGCGCGGGCAUGUGGUGAAGCCAGAAACACGCGCAUCCUGGUGUUCGGAGCAUCGGAGCAGCCAGGACGUGUUCAGACAGCGUCAGUAUGUCGCACGCAGCGGCAGCAGCACAGGGGCACCCGGCCAGACGGCAGGCGAGGCCUUGCUUGCUGCCUGCUGCCUGCUUCCUGGGGGUCCGCGUCUGUUUCUCCAGCCUUCCCUCUGACCUAGUGUGCAGCUCUAUUUCCUGCCAGUAAACUCCUUCCUUGGUGUUAGCCAGCCUUCUCUCCUGC